rnacentral:rRNA from 1 species
CUACGGGGCGCAGCAGUGAGGAAUAUUGCACAAUGGGGGGAACCCUGAUGCAGCAACGCCGCGUGGAGGAUGACGCAUUUCGGUGUGUAAACUCCUUUUAUAUGUCAAGAAAAUGACGGUAGCAUAUGAAUAAGCACCGGCUAACUCCGUGCCAGCAGCCGCGGUAAUACGGAGGGUGCAAGCGUUACUCGGAAUCACUGGGCGUAAAGGACGCGUAGGAGGGUUGGAAAGUCAGGUGUGAAAUCCUACAGCUUAACUGUAGAACUGCACUUGAAACUUCUAAUCUAGAGUAUGGGAGGGGGAGAUGGAAUUAGUGGUGUAGGGGUAAGAUCCGUAGAUAUCACUAGGAAUACCUAAAGCGAAGGCGAUCUCCUGGAACAUUACUGACGCUAAGGCGUGAAAGCGUGGGGAGCAAACAGGAUUAGAUACCCUUGUAGUC